rnacentral:tRNA from 1 species
GCCGGCGUAGCUCAGUUGGCAGAGCAGCGCACUCGUAAUGCGCAGGUCGGCAGUUCAAGUCUGCCCGCCGGCUCCA